GUCUAACGGAAAUCAGAGGUGGAAAAGAGGUUGGAGGAGCCUGUUCCGUUCCACCCGCGUUUACUGAUGCGCCCACCAGCAGCCACGCUUGGGGCUGGGGGCUUUGAGGACACGCACGACACCAGGGGAAAGUGAAAAAAGAACCACAUUUGAAUUCUGCUUUGUCACUACAAGUGGGUGACCAUGAGCAAGUUACUAACCUCAGUGAACCUGUUCCUAACCUAAAGAGGAGGAGAAUGGAGAGCAGAUGAACUCAUCCUUAUGGAUUCAGAAGACAAAGAAUACAAGCAAGCAGGAGAAAGUCUAAGAAGAGAGUUCACCUGGUGGGUGGCAACGUUCACAGCAAGAGUACCAUCCUUCUGUAACAUGCAUUCUCAAAAGAGCCAAUAUCACCUU